rnacentral:rRNA from 1 species
CACCAGGUCAGGACACGGUAAGGAUUGACGGACUGAAGGCUCUUUCUCGAUUCCGUGGAAAGUGGUGCAUGGCCGUUUUUGGUUGGUGGAUCGAUCCGUCUGGUUAAUUCCGUUAACGAACGAGACCUCGGCACUCCGAAUAGCGCGGCGGACGUCGCGGCCUCCGGGCCGUCUUCCGCACGAGCUUCUUAGAGGGACCGUCCCCCGCCGGGGAAGGAGGUGCGAGGCAACGACAGGUCUGUGAUGCCCUUAGAUGUUCUGGGCCGCACGCGCAUUACACUGACGCGUCCAACGGGUGACUCCCGACCCGAAGGGGCCGGGGAAUCCGCAAGGCGCGUCGUGAUGGGGAUUGAACGUUGCAAUUGUUGUUCACGAACGAGGAAUUCCUAGUAGGCGCGGGUCAUCAACCCGCGCCGAUUACGUCCCUGCCCUUUGUACACACC